AGCGAACGCUGGCGGCAGGCUUAACACAUGCAAGUCGAGCGGGCCCUUCGGGGUCAGCGGCAGACGGGUGAGUAACACGUGGGAACGUACCCUUUGGUUCGGAAUAACGCUGGGAAACUAGCGCUAAUACCGGAUACGCCCUUUUGGGGAAAGGCUUGCUGCCGAAGGAUCGGCCCGCGUCUGAUUAGCUAGUUGGUGGGGUAAUGGCCUACCAAGGCGACGAUCAGUAGCUGGUCUGAGAGGAAGAUCAGCCACACUGGGACUGAGACACGGCCCAGACUCCUACGGGAGGCAGAAGUGGGGAAUAUUGGACAAUGGGCGCAAGCCUGAUCCAGCCAUGCCGGGUGAGUGAUGAAGGCCUUAGGGUUGUAAAGCUCUUUUGUCCGGGACGAUAAUGACGGUACCGGAAGAAUAAGCCCCGGCUAACUUCGUG
rnacentral:rRNA from 1 species